AAAUUAUCAUCGAUCGCUUAUCUCGUAGCCCGCGAAUGCCACUUUCCGUUUGGCAGGGUCAAAAAAUUGAACCUACGCUAAAAGGUAUAGCAACAAUUUGCAUUGCAUUUCCGUUUCUUUUGCGGCAUUGCUCUAUAAAUACGGCAAGUCCGACGACUACAAUUCGUUCUUAUCAAUUAACCGAGCAAACAAACAGACGCCAAGAAAAAUGAUCAUCAGUGCAAGCGAACAAGGGGAAUAGGGAAGAGAAACACGCGCCGAGAGAGAAACACGACACUUAAUUAACGCCAAUUAUAAUGGUUAAUAAGAGUAUGUAGAAAUCGAGGAACGCGGCCGACUUGUGGGUUUCUUUU
ensembl:ncRNA asRNA:CR44297 antisense RNA:CR44297